UACGGAGGGGGCUAGCGUUGUUCGGAAUUACUGGGCGUAAAGCGCACGUAGGCGGCUUUGUAAGUUAGAGGUGAAAGCCCAGGGCUUAACCCUGGAAUUGCCUUUAAGACUGCAUCGCUUGAAUCGUGGAGAGGUGAGUGGAAUUCCGAGUGUAGAGGUGAAAUUCGUAGAUAUUCGGAAGAACACCAGUGGCGAAGGCGACUCACUGGACACGUAUUGACGCUGAGGUGUGAAAGCGUGGGGAGCAAACAGG
rnacentral:rRNA from 1 species